rnacentral:lncRNA from 1 species
UCCACCUAGAAUGUGUCUCACCUACAUAAAGCCUCCUGAAGUAUCAUAGCUACUACAAGAUGGGAGAAUUAAAGGAACAGAGCUGUGAAGUUACCUGCUCAAAGUCAUAAAGGAGGCCAAUGAUAAAUCCAGGUGUAUAAGCCAA